UGCGUAGAUAUCGGGAGGAACACCAGUGGCGAAGGCGGCCUACUGGGCAUCAACUGACGCUGAGGCUCGAAAGCAUGGGUAGCAAACAGGAUUAGAUACCCUGGUAGUCCAUGCUGUAAACGAUGAUUACUAGGUGUGGGAAGAUUGACCCUUUCCGUGCCGCAGUUAACACAAUAAGUAAUCCACCUGGGGAGUACGACCGCAAGGUUGAAACUCAAAGGAAUUGACGGGGGCCCGCACAAGCAGUGGAGUAUGUGGUUUAAUUCGAAGCAACGCGAAGAACCUUACCAGGUCUUGACAUCCAACGACCGCCUAAGAGAUUAGGCUUUCCUUCGGGACGUUGAGACAGGUGGUGCAUGGUUGUCGUCAGCUCGUGUCGUGAGAUGUUGGGUUAAGUCCCGCAACGAGCGCAACCCUUAUUACUAGUUACUACGCAAGAGGACUCUAGUGAGACUGCCGUUGACAAAACGGAGGAAGGUGGGGAUGACGUCAAAUCAUCAUGCCCUUUAUGACCUGGGCUACACACGUACUACAAUGGCUAUUAACAGAGAGAAGCGAGACCGCAAGGUGGAGCAAACCUCAGAAAAAUAGUCUCAGUCCGGAUUGGGGGCUGCAACCCGCCCCCAUGAAGCCGGAAUUGCUAGUAAUCGCGGAUCAGCAUGCCGCGGUGAAUACGUUCCCGGGCCUUGUACACACCGCCCGUCACACCAUGAGAGCCGGGGGGACCCGAAGUCGGUAGUCUAACCGCAAGGAGGACGCCGCCGAAGGUAAAACUGGUGAUUGGGGUGAAGUCGUAACAAGGUAACCGUAAAGGGCGAAUUCGGAGCCUGC
rnacentral:rRNA from 1 species